rnacentral:rRNA from 1 species
UACGUAGGGCGCGAGCGUUGUCCGGAAUCAUUGGGCGUAAAGAGCUCGUAGGCGGCCUGUCGCGUCUGCUGUGAAAUCCCGGGGCUCAACCCCGGGCGUGCAGUGGAUACGGGCUGGCUGGAGGCAGGCAGGGGAGAACGGAAUUCCCGGUGUAGCGGUGAAAUGCGCAGAUAUCAGGAGGAACACCAAUGGCGAAGGCAGAUCUCUGGGCCGUAACUGACGCUGAGGAGCGAAAGCAUGGGGAGCGAACAGG